GAGGGUAUACCUCAGUGGUAGAGCACAUGCUUAGCAUGCACGAGGUCUUGGGUUCAAUCCGAGUACCUCCA
rfam:Camelus ferus unplaced genomic scaffold scaffold956, whole genome shotgun sequence.